GGAAGCUCAACUGGGGCGGAAGACAGCGAGAAUGCAAGACGCCUCCUGAAGCCAGAAAAGCGCAUGCGCUACAGUUAAAACGCUGCCCCCUAGCGACUGGAGGAUAGCAGAGUGUUCCCACGGGGUUGGUUACCAACUUUUCGGGUACGGAGUCUCUGGGCUGUUAGUGUAAGAUGGCUUCAGAAGCACCCUUCCGACGCAGAGCCUCGUUACUUCAGCACCCGGCGUGUAAUGAACGACCCGCCCUGGAAUCCGUCGCCCACCUGUUGUGGCCUGGAGCAUGCAAACAAUCCCUUUGCCUCUUGGAACCUACGAGCACACCUGGCCGACGCGGGCGGCCCACUGGGUGCGGUGGGUUGGGCACGAGAUUACAGAACUUGUAUUGGCCCUUCCUGAGAGGUCAGCAACCUUCCAGGGCUUUCUUGCAACAUCUGGCAUUGGUCGCAUAUGUCCUCUGACUAGUGUUUUCUCGCCCAGAGCUCCUAACUUCCACCUCUGUGAUGUUUUGGGCCUUACAGGUGUACCACAUACACAUCUUGCCUUUGAGAUGUCCGAUCUUCAGUCCGUCACUCCCAUCCCUACCUGAGCCACGCUGAGAUUCCUGCCCUCCUUCUGACUCAGUGCUCCGGAGGAAGCUACAGAGGCGUGCUAACUACAAGGCAUCAGAUAAACCUUCUCACCCCUUAUGGCCAUCUGCGCACUGAGCUCUCUCCCUUUCCUGAUCUUGAGCAACUGGCUAGAUAACCUUAUGUGACCAAACAGGUUUCCCUCACUAAAUCUUAAAAUAAAUCAGACUCCAUAGCA